rnacentral:rRNA from 1 species
GAUGAACGCUGGCGGCGUGCUUAACACAUGCAAGUCGAAUGAUGAAGCCCAGCUUGCUGGGUGGAUUAGUGGCGAACGGGUGAGUAACACGUGAGUAACCUGCCCUUAACUCUGGGAUAAGCCUUUGCAACUGGGUCUAAUACCGGAUAGGAGCGUCCACCGCAUGGUGGGUGUUGUAAAGAUUUAUCGGUUUUGGAUGGACUCGCGGCUUAUCAGCUUGUUGGUGAGGUAAUGGCUCACCAAGGCGACGACGGGUAGCCGGCCUGAGAGGGUGACCGGCCACACUGGGACUGAGACACGGCCCAGACUCAUACGGGAGGCAGCAGUGGGGAAUAUUGCACAAUGGGCGCAAGCCUGAUGCAGCGACGCAGCGUGAGGGAUGACGGCCUUCGGGUUGUAAACCGCUUUCAGUAGGGAAGAAGCGAAAGUGACGGUACCUGCAGAAGAAGCAACGGCUAACUACGUG